UCAAACUUGGUCAUUUAGAGGAAGUAAAAGUCGUAACAAGGUUUCCGUAGGUGAACCUGCGGAAGGAUCAUUAUCAGGUGGAGCAGGCCUCGCGCCCGCACCUCCCUCCCUUUGCAUACCGUAACCCGUUGCUCGAGCCGGCGGCCCCCGGGCCCCGGCGAGAGACCAUCUCAACCUUCUCUUUCGGAACGUCUGAGUCUAUCAUAAUAGCAUAAAACUUUCAACAACGGAUCUCUUGGUUCCGGCAUCGAUGAAGAACGCAGC
rnacentral:misc_RNA from 1 species